GGAAAGUCCACUGCAUAUAUGUUAACAGUUAAAACUUUUGGUAGGUAGAUGUUUUCUGUUAGACUUGCUGAUGACUAUCUUUGUUUAUGAUAGAAAUGUGAAUGAGUGGAUUACUCGCAAUAUAUUUGAAUUCAACUAAUUUUAAUCGAGUCUAGCAAAGCUUGAGUAUCACAAUGCUGGACUCAAGCAAGUAGCUCACAAGCCUAAUCGAAUAUUUGAACUUUUAUGAAGUUUUAGAUAAUGACUUUGAGCUCAAUUUUGAACUUGUAUUUCUUAUAGCUUUAAUUAGAG
rnacentral:misc_RNA from 1 species